UCCCUAGUGGUCUAGUGGUUAAGAUUCAGCGCUUUCAUGACUAUGGCCCUGGUUCAAUUCCUGGUUGGAGAA
rnacentral:tRNA from 1 species